GAUGAACGCUGGCGGCGUGCCUAAUACAUGCAAGUAGAACGCUGAAGGGGGAGCUUGCUCUUUCCGGAUGAGUUGCGAACGGGUGAGUAACGCGUAGGUAACCUGCCUGGUAGCGGGGGAUAACUAUUGGAAACGAUAGCUAAUACCGCAUAACAGUAGAUAUUGCAUGAUAUUUGCUUGAAAGGGGCAAUUGCUCCACUACCAGAUGGACCUGCGUUGUAUUAGCUAGUUGGUGAGGUAACGGCUCACCAAGGCGACGAUACAUAGCCGACCUGAGAGGGUGAUCGGCCACACUGGGACUGAGACACGGCCCAGACUCCUACGGGAGGCAGCAGUAGGGAAUCUUCGGCAAUGGACGGAAGUCUGACCGAGCAACGCCGCGUGAGUGAAGAAGGGUGUCGGAUCGUAAAGCUCUGUUGUAAGAGAAGAACGAGUGUGAGAGUGGAAAGUUCACACUGUGACGGUAUCUUACCAGAAAGGGACGGCUAACUACGUG
rnacentral:rRNA from 1 species